rnacentral:rRNA from 1 species
UGCGUAGGCGGUUAGAUAAGUUAGAGGUGAAAUGUUAGGGCUUAACCCUGAAACUGCCUCUAAUACUGUUUAGCUAGAGAAUAGUUGCGGUAGGCGGAAUGUAUGGUGUAGCGGUGAAAUGCUUAGAGAUCAUACAGAACACCGAUUGCGAAGGCAGCUUACCAAACUAUGACUGACGUUGAUGCACGAAAGCGUGGGGAGCAAACAGGAUUAGAUACCCCUGUA